GUUGGAGGCAGGAGGAUGCCUAGGGCUGGCUGGCCAGCCAAUCGCCAAAUUGCUGCACUUCAGAGUCAGAAAGCAACCCUCUCUCGAAAAAAAAAAAAAAAUGUGGAGAGCAAUUCAUGAAGACUCACGUUGACCUCUGGUCUCCAUGUGUACACUUGAACAUGUACCUAUAUUGACACACACACAAGUACACUAACCCUACAUUGUAAAGUACAAGACAGUAGUCAAGCAUUCUUCACUUGUUCAUGGUGCUAAGGAAAGGGAGACUGAAAAUAAACCAAGCUCCUAACCAAAGCUGAAGUGAUUUUACAGUCCCCAAAGAAGCAAGAAAGUAAACGCAGGAUGUGUGUUAUUGGUUUAAAACUAACACUGACUUGGAGAAAGGAAGCAAACAGGGCUCCAGAAGUCAUAUAGGCUGAAACAGCUUUGGCUGUCACUUGCAAUUUAUCAUUAACCAUUACCAAACAAACUGAUUUCUAACCUCUAGUUAAAGAUGCCUUCUGAUUAUAACCUGAACCUCGUUAAAUACCAUUGAUUAGUAGGAAUAGUUUUGGACUAUAAGCAAUAAAACUAGUAAUUCAAAAUAGAAAAGAAAGUCACUGGGAAGGCAUGAAUGUGGAUAUGGGAGGCCAACCUCAGUCAUCCUAUUGUUUUUUUCCCUAGCUACCUACUGGCCAGCUUCUACACCAAGUAUGAUGCUGCUCAUUUCCUCAUCAACACUGCCUCACUGCUCAGCGUACUGCUGCCUAAGCUGCCCCAGUUCCAUGGGGUUCGCCUCUUUGGAAUCAACAAAUACUGAAAGACGGGCUGAUAGGUCUGCAGGCAUUGAGGGAAGGCACUGGAACUAAUAGAAUGUUUUUCCCUUCUCCGUACUAUCUUCUGUAUCUUGGAAGCCUGACAGAUAAGAUAAACCUUUCUAAACUCCAAGAAGGGAGAAAUUGGAAAAUGGGGUUCCUGGGCCCAGCCUUAAAAGGGUCAAGGUUCUCUGAAUCAGGAAAGGUGAGUGAGGUUAGGGCCUGCCACUCACUCUCCUCUAUCUAGCAAGAAGCCAUCAAUGCUUGGGCAGCUUUUCUGGUAAUUAUGUUUUGCCAUAUCCUCUAAACCCGCUAACUUCAAGUUCUGUUUUGCUGUAAAUUUUUCUUAAAAUAAAGUCUUUCAGUUAUGGCUGAAAUUUGAUAAGC
rnacentral:lncRNA from 1 species